GGUUGUGAUCAUACCAGCACAAAUGCACCGGAUCUCAUCAGAACUCCGCAGUUAAGCGUGCUUAGGCAUGAGUAGUACUAGGAUGGGUGACCCCCUGGGAAGUCCUCGUGUUGCAACCCC
rnacentral:rRNA from 1 species